UGUGCUUUUUCCAGGCCCACCCAUGGCCACCCAUGGACCAGUCAGCUUGUACUUCCUCCCCUCUGAAGCCCACAAAAUCUCUGGAUUCAGUCAGACUCGGGCAGAUGACAGGAUGACCUGCUUGUGGAGAGGAGCUACCCACUCUGGAUCUCCUCUCUGCUGAGGGCUGCACACUCAUUGGGAUGACCUGCCUGCACAUAGAAGAGUGUGUACUAGUCUCAGUAAGUCAAUGGGUUUCCCUGGAUCCAGGCUUGGAGAAAAUGUUUUCUCUUCUCUAUCUGCAAUUCUCCUGAACCAAUUCUGACGGAUAAUAUGACUGUGUCAACCACAAAAGAGGAAAAGAAUGGGCUUUAAAUCCCGCCUUUACAGCCAUCCAAGGCAGCUCCUUCUUCAAAGGAUGGAACUUUAAGGAUGGAACCAAUUGGCUACAAAUCAUUUUAGCUGAUGCACUGAGACAAUUCUGAAGCAAACUGUCUUAUCCUGGAUUUUGUCAGUAACUGGAGUUGAAGGACUUGAAGAUUCUCAAGGAUUGAUCCAGAAUAUGUUCCAGCAAAAACUACAGCAGAGUAACUUUGACAAGAAAAAUGUUCACUUGCUACCUAAGGAGAGUCUCUGUCUCCUGACCUCUGAAUUUCGAAAUCCUCAGCUCUGGCUGCCACGCAGUGGGAACCGAAUGAGAUGGCUGGGCAGGGUUCUGCAACACAGCAGAAACCCCAGGCUUCCCAAGACCCAGGAUCAGAACUGUAUAAUGUCACUUCUGCCUCACUUUGUUGGACAAAAAGCUGGAAUAACUGAGAGAACAA
rnacentral:lncRNA from 10 species